AGCCAAGGGAUGAUUCCCUGCCCCCUUUCUUUUCCUUGGCCAUUUUGGAAGGAGGUGACUCUUGGGAAAGGCGAGUCUUGGCGGCGCUUCAAAGGAGGAGCCCCUUGGGAGGAGGCUGGCUGCGGCCUCCUUCCCUUUUGCCAGGGCUCCUGUGCUUUUUGGUGAUUUUUUUGGGCUGUUUUGGAGCUGGAAUGGGGGGCAGAUUGAAAAGCUGCGAAGGGGGAUUUUUCUUAAGAGAACGGGAGCAUUUUUACCCUCUCCUUUCCCGUGUGUUUGUGUUUCAUUCCCUGCGAGUUAUCUGGUUAACCUAAAGCCAAAAAAAGGACCCUGGAAGGAUCAGGACACGUCCAGUCUGAGUUCAACAAGCCAUGUGAUUGUUUAGAGAAACCUGAGUUGGGACGACGGCUCUCUGUUCACAUCUGACCUUGCGCCGUUGCUCGCAGCUGAACUCUUGCCAAGCCCGGCUGCUUCUCUCCCUCUUUCUUUCUCGCUCUGCCUUCCUAACAGCGGCAAGAUUUAUGGGAAUCGUUUUGGGGAGAGAGAGAAGGGGAGGGCGCGCGUGGAGGCUCUGGCAGCUCAAUCCCUUUUGGACUGACACUUUCCAUACCUGCAUUGCAUCCAGAAUCAGAAAUUUGGAUGGGAUUCAGCAAGUCAUCAAGAGCAGCCUUACCUUAAGGCAAAGAGCUUCCACAGCUGGGAAAGCAUGUCAGUUGCCUAGAUACCAGCACUGCAUUUUCAGGCAUCUGGGACUUUUCUAGCCAUGAGAUAUCCUAUACCCAAGAUAUCCCUGCCAGAUGGCUUUUCUGUCUCUCCUCAGAAACUUUUAAAAGAGGACAUUCCAUAUGCUCUCAAUGAAAUACAUUUUCUUCGCAAGAGAAUCUACUGCCUUCCAGGCUGGACAUGGGAACUGUAAGAGCCUCCAGAUCUUGCUUCACCACAGUCAGCAAAGCCAUUGGUGAGAAAUUCUGGGAGUUGCAGUCCUGCAACAUCUGGAGACUGCUGCAGUUUCCACAUCUGCAUCUAAUCUAAAACCACUCUCGUUUUCUACCAAUUGGUGGAUGUACAAUGGCUUCCCCUUUCCUGGCUUUUUUCUAUCAUUCUUUAAACACAUGCCUUUAAAAGCUGUUAGAGUUUCUCCUCCAUAUCAUGGAUUCUCUGUCUAUGGAUUCAACCCUCUACAACUUGAAAAUAUUUUUUUA
rnacentral:lncRNA from 11 species